UACAGAGGGCGCGAGCGUUGUCCGGAAUCACUGGGCGUAAAGGGCGCGUAGGCGGCCAGCGCAAGUCAGUUGUGAAAUCUCCGGGCUUAACUCGGAAAGGUCAACUGAUACUGCGCGGCUAGAGUGCAGAAGGGGCAACUGGAAUUCUUGGUGUAGCGGUGAAAUGCGUAGAUAUCGGGAGGAACACCCGUAGCGAAGGCGGCACUCUGGGCCGGUACUGACGCUGAGGAGCGAAAGCGUGGGGAGCAAACAGG
rnacentral:rRNA from 1 species